rnacentral:rRNA from 1 species
UACAUGGGGUGCAAACGUUGCUCGGAAUUAUUGGGCGGAAAGCGCACGUAGGUGGUCUGUUAUGUCAGAUGUGAAAGCCCUCGGCUUAACUGAGGAAGUGCACCUGAAACUGGCAGGCUUGAGUACGAAAGAGGGUCGCGGAAUUCCCGGUGUAGAGGUGAAAUUCGUAGAUAUCGGGAGGAACACCGGUGGCGAAGGCGGCGACCUGGUUCGAUACUGACACUGAGGUGCGAAAGCGUGGGGAGCAAACAGG